UGAACAUUGUCUCCGAAAAGUAGACGAGAGAGAGAGAAAGAGAGAGAAAGAAAGAGAGAGAGAGAGAGAAAUGUCACAGGGCCAACCUGACAGCUCUUGUGUUUUUGAUGGAGUGUUGGCCCUGGAACUCUUACAGGGUAUGAAUUUGCAACAAGACUGGCUAUCCCAACAAGGGCUAUGGAGUGGCAGAAAAUGUCCCUGCCAAAAAUAGAGACCUGGGUGCAAUCCCUGGUUUGAUGAUCUCCAAUCCCUCCCGUCUAUUGGAGAUUCCUGGGCAAGUAACUGAACUCUUUCCAUUUGUGCCAGCUCAUCACGGGGUCUUGCGAGAGCAUUAAGUGACACAUGAACAAGGAGCAUCUUUGCAAAUACACCAUUCUCUGCUACUACAGAAAGAUGCACUAAAGCAUAGAAAUGGAAAUAUCAUCUUUGAAGGCAAGCAAGUCAUUCUGCUUGAAUGAGAAUGGUGUGUGUGGUGGUGUCUUCAGCUCCAAACUGAAAGCUGUGAACCCUCCUCAGAGCAGAAAGGCCACCAUUGCUUCCCAUAUGUGUGUAUUUUAGGAAGGGGUGAUGAUUAAGUCUUAGACACCAUUUGUGUCACUACCAAAAGAAAAAGACUAAACGGAUGUUCUCUGGGCCCUUUCCAAGCCCUGGCUGCAGUUUGUUCAUCAGUGUCUUCGGAACUGUCUUCCUGACCCUUCACUCUUGCAGAAGAGAGAGACAGGAUCUUAUUAUGUUGCCCAGGCUGGCCUCGAACUUCUGGGCUCAAGUGAUCCUCCAGGCUUAGCUUCCCAAGUAGCUGGAACUAGAGGUGUGCAUCAUCCUGCCUGACUCAAGACUUCCAUUUCUGAAACACCUGUUGUCUCCAGAACUGAACACAGUGCCUGGCACAAAAUCAACGGAAUUGGAAACUUGAACACUGGAAACCAAGGCCUGCAGUUUUCACAAUCUUCCCCACGUGAUGCUUGUGCAUGCUCAAGUUUGAGAACAACUGAUCCACAUGAUGUGACUUUUUUUUUCCUUAUGGUCUCCUCAUCUAACAAAUCAACAGGAGUGUAUUGAUGCUGGACAGUCAUUCACUGGUCCACUCAAGCAACAUUGACUGAGUGUCAGGUAUAGAGGUAACUGCACUGAAGAAAAUAUUCAAGGUGCCUACAGUUUCCCAGGAAACCCAUCUGUCAAAGUUGUUUGCCCUGAAAAGAGAGAGGUCUUGUUUGACUUUGUUCAGAUGAAAAAGGUAAAAGUAGCAUUGUGCUUCCUGACCAACAAUCAGAGAUGUUAAUAUUUCUGAGCUAAGCUGUUGAACAUGGUUACUUCUCAGAGGGUGGGUUUGUUUGGGAGGGGGAAGUGAAAUAAACUUGAUUGCACCACCCCAGUUUUUGUUAAGCCCUCUCUCCUGUCCACUCUCCACCCCCGAGGCUCUCAGCCAGGCGCUCAGUGCAGAGCCUAGUACCCUGGCUGUUGCUUCCUCUCCAGCAGACUCAGCUUCUUUCCUGGCAUCUACCUUGGUGGGAGCUGAAGCAUGAAGAACUAUAGAUCCCAUGCCCUCGCCCCACAUGACCAGAUCCCUUGGAGAGUCUGCUUCUGCCUUCCCUCCCAGACUUCAGUGAUGUUCAAGGAUCUCGCUUGCUCAAAGCCUACAGGCUCUGGGAUGCCCACAUGGGGCAAACUGGCCAAUAAAGAACAAGACAGCUGUUGGAGGAUAUGAUCUUACCAAAUGAGAGAUUAAACCAAGAAACAAGAAGUCACAGGAUCUAGAACACACAGGCUCAAAAAUAAGAACUACACGACCUCUCUUAAGUACUGAAUGAAAGAACAGAUGAAUUAAAAAUGCUUUGAAAAAGUGUUUGAUAGCAAACAUCCUUACACUGACUAGCCUGCAGAGCAGAGCCUUAAAGAACAAAUAAUCUUACAUGAAUUUAGUGCUGACUGCAACAAGAUUACCAGCAUUUCCUUAUCAGUCUUUCAGCUAAGCAUAGAAUUUUAGUUUGGGGCCAGGCACAGUGGCUCACACCUAUAAUCCUAGCACUUUGGGAGGCCGAGGUGGGCGGAUCACCUGA